AGGCGGGGUCUCCUGUUUACUGUCUGACUCUGGCUGAAGAGCUUCAGCUGUGUCUUGGAUGCUUUCCAGCUGAGUGGGAGUGGGAGCUGUGUUCUCAGGAGUUUCAUCCGGUUCUCCUUCUGGGCCUGCUGCUGUUACUCCCAAGUCGUCCUCGUUCGACGAGUCCUCCGAAGGGGCCAUGACACCGGGUCACCAACCAUCGGGUUUAGGGUGUGCUUUUCCAGGAGAAGUCAAAUCACUGCUUCUUUGAAGACAUCCAGGAUCACUCUCUCCCACACCCUUCCCAAGGUGGCUCACGACAUACGAUGAGGAAGGGAGAAAAAUAUUUCCCAAGUGAAAGUUGCUAUGCCUGGCCAGAGGAAUAAGUUUCAUACUUUGAUACAUGCAAGUCGUGUAACAACCUUCAUCACAGUUGGAGUGGUCUGGGCAGUGGAAAGCAGGGGGACCAACAGCAGGGGUGGUGACUUCCAAUUGAACCUUCAUCCAUGAGGCUCCUUCAUCUUGUGUUUGCCUUUCUGUGCCUGAUGAUGCUGGUUGUUCCAGGAUUUUCUAAAAUAGGCAACAGCAAGCAGUGCCAUGAAGCCAAAGGAAAAUGUAUCAAGCGCAGAUGUCCUGGCAGUUAUAAGCGCAUCGGAAACUGUAGUAGAAAAAUUGCAUGCUGCAGGUCAUAUAACUGAUGAUAACAGGACCACAUCUCAACGACCUGCUUGAAAUCCAUUGGCUCCUGCUGCUGUGAAACUCAUAUGGACCAUAUGCAUGGAAUUUAACUAUGGAGAGAGAUGUGAUUGCUUUCUGCCAAAAUAAAAGCAGUUUGUAGUGCAACUUUGGGCCUAAAAGGGAUGUGUUCAUAUUUGG